rnacentral:rRNA from 1 species
GACAGAGGAUGCAAGCGUUAUCCGGAAUGAUUGGGCGUAAAGCGUCUGUAGGUGGCUUUUUAAGUCCGCCGUCAAAUCCCAGGGCUCAACCCUGGACAGGCGGUGGAAACUACCCAAGCUGGAGUACGGUAGGGGCAGAGGGAAUUUCCGGUGGAGCGGUGAAAUGCGUAGAGAUCGGAAAGAACACCACGGCGAAGAACUCUGCUGGGCCGACACUGGCACUGAGAGACGAAAGCUAGGGGAGCGAAUGGG